GAUGAACGCUGGCGGCGUGCCUAAUACAUGCAAGUCGAGCGAACAGACGAGGAGCUUGCUCCUCUGACGUUAGCGGCGGACGGGUGAGUAACACGUGGAUAACCUACCUAUAAGACUGGGAUAACUUCGGGAAACCGGAGCUAAUACCGGAUAAUAUAUUGAACCGCAUGGUUCAAUAGUGAAAGACGGUUUUGCUGUCACUUAUAGAUGGAUCCGCGCCGCAUUAGCUAGUUGGUAAGGUAACGGCUUACCAAGGCAACGAUGCGUAGCCGACCUGAGAGGGUGAUCGGCCACACUGGAACUGAGACACGGUCCAGACUCCUACGGGAGGCAGCAGUAGGGAAUCUUCCGCAAUGGGCGAAAGCCUGACGGAGCAACGCCGCGUGAGUGAUGAAGGUCUUCGGAUCGUAAAACUCCGUUAUUAGGGAAGAACAAAUGUGUAAGUAACUUUGCACGUCUUGACGGUACCUAAUCAGAAAGCCACGGCUAACUACGUG
rnacentral:rRNA from 1 species